rnacentral:rRNA from 1 species
AUGGUGGUGGUCGAUAGAUUCACGAAAUACAGUCAUUUCAUUCCCAUGUCCCACCCUUAUUCAGUUCUCUCCGUGGCUCAAAAGUUUGUGCACAACAUCAUAAGAUUGCAUGGUCCUCCUAAGCUCAUUAUCUCUGACAGAGAUAGAAUUUUUACCAGCAAACUGGGGAAAGACAUUUUUACUGCCCUCAAGGUGGAACUCAGAUUCAGCACGACCUACCAUCUUCAAACGGAUGGCCAGACAGAGCGGGUGAACCAGUGUUUGGAAACAUACCUGCGUUGUAUGACAACUGAUCAACCUACCAAGUGGAUGUCAUGGCUGUCUCUGGCAGAAUAUUGGUAUAAUUCCACUUAUCACACGGCUUUGAAAAUGUCUCCAUUUCAAGCCCUGUAUGGAUUUCCACCUCCACUCAUAUCUGAAUUAGCAAUUCCUGGACCAGAUGAUGAGGAAGCACAAGAUUUCUUGACAGCUAAACAGCAAAUGUUAGAGCAGUUGAAAGAGAAUUUGUGCAAGGCUCAGAACAGAAUGAAGCGUUAUGCAGAUCUCAGACGAGUGGAGAGAAGUUUCCAGGUGGGGGACAUGGUUUACUUGAAGAUGGCACCUUAUAGAUUGGCAGCAUUUGGCUUUCGAGGAGCUCUUAAGUUGCAGAACAAGUAUUAUGGCCCUUUUCUCAUAACACAAAAGAUAGGGAACUCUGCUUACAAAUUGCAAUUUCCUAGCAACGUUCAGAUAAACCCGGUCUUUCAUGUCAGCCAGCUCAAAAAACAUAUUGGACAAAAGGCGAUUCCGAGCCCCAAUCUUCCAAUGGUCAAUGCAGAUGGCACGAUCAAAACGGGCCCGGCCGCAGUUCUACAAGUCAGGCAAAUUCCACGCAACAAUGCACCAGUGGUUCAGUGGCAAAUCCAAUGGGAAAAUCUGUCACCGGACGACGCGACGUGGGAGGAUGCAGACUUCAUCAAGUACUCAUUCCUGGAGUUUUUCAGGCAAACUACUCAAGCUUGGCGCACAGCACAAGAAUCGACGUGA